AGCAGCCGCGGUAAUUCCAGCUCCAAUAGCGUAUAUUAAAGUUGUUGCAGUUAAAAAGCUCGUAGUUGAAUUUCGGGAUCAAUAUAUCGGUCGUGCCUUGGUACGUACUGGUAUCAUUGGUUUCUCCUUUCUGACGAACCAUGAUGCCAUUAAUUUGGUGUUAUGGGAAGUUAGGACUGUUACUUUGAAAAAAUUAGAGUGUUUAAAGCAGGCUUUGGCUUGAAUACAUUAGCAUGGAAUAAUGAAAUAGGACGUUCGAACCUAUUUUGUUGGUUUCUAGGAUCAACGUAAUGAUUAAUAGGGAUAGUUGGGGGCAUUAGUAUUCAAUUGUCAGAGGUGAAAUUCUUGGAUUUAUUGAAGACUAAUUACUGCGAAAGCAUUUGCCAAGGAUGUUUUCAUUAAUCAAGAACGAAAGUUAGGGGAUCGAAGACGACCAGAUACCGUCGUAGUCUUAACCAUAAACUAUGCCGACUAGGGAUCGGAUGAUGUUAAUUUUUUAAUGACUCAUUCGGCGCCUUAC
rnacentral:rRNA from 1 species